GACGAACGCUGGCGGCGUGCCUAAUACAUGCAAGUCGAGCGGACGAAUCGAAAGCUUGCUUUUGAUUCGUUAGCGGCGGACGGGUGAGUAACACGUGGGCAACCUGCCCUGUAGACGGGGAUAACACCGAGAAAUCGGUGCUAAGACCGGAUAACACGAAAUGUCGCAUGACGUUUCGUUGAAAGACGGCGCAAGCUGCCGCUACAGGAUGGGCCCGCGGCGCAUUAGCUAGGUGGUGAGGGAACGGCUCACCAAGGCGACGAUACGUAGCCGACCUGAGAGGGUGAUCGGCCACACUGGGACUGAGACACGGCCCAGACUCCUACGGGAGGCAGCAGUAGGGAAUCUUCCGCAAUGGACGAAAGUCUGACGGAGCAACGCCGCGUGAGCGAAGAAGGCCUUCGGGUCGUAAAGCUCUGUUGUUAGGGAAGAACAAGUAACGCAGUAACUGGCGUUACCGUGACGGUACCUAACGAGAAAGCCACGGCUAACUACGUG
rnacentral:rRNA from 1 species